rnacentral:lncRNA from 1 species
ACCAGCCAUGCUCUUGAUGACUGUUGCUAAUUGGGAUACCCAGUGUUGGAUAUGAAAAGGAUAUGAGGGUGGAGAUGGAAGGCAGCUGGACUUCGUGUACAGUUCCUGGUAGGACGUUUGGGAUUCUUCCAUGCUAUUUCUGGCUGUCUCUUCAGACAGGUAUGCAACAAUGUGGGUCAGAGUCAGAGUAUGAGGGAAACAAUGGCCAAGAAAGCACGCACCAUAUCGAAUCAACUGCACUUGUGAACUGUAGACGUUUCCUGGACAUUGGCAGGUGCAAUUAGGAUGCAAACGUUGUGGAGCCGCACGUCUUAGAAGUUACAGAUCACUCAGAUGCUGUAUUCAACCUGUCAGUGUCUUCCAAGCCAAACACGUCUACGGGAUUCCAUUGGCAAAGAACACUUGCACACCAUUCCUGGACAGAAACUAGACAUUUACUCUCAGGCAUUGCAAAGCCAGCACAUCCAUGAGGGAAGGGAGUCUGUAAUUUCCUUCAUUCACCUGAGGAGCUGGCAAUAUAUACAAAUGUAAUCACAAUUAGACAUUAUUAGUAUACUUUAAGCGGAAAUACACUACUGCUCACCAUAUUGCACAAGACUGUGACUCGGUAAACCAUCUUGGAACACAGCAUUGAGAGAAAGAGGGGAUAUAAAUCUAACAGAUAAAUAAGGCAUCGUGUUUAAUAACUCUCUGUGCCUUUUUUGUAGCUUUCUGAAAAUGAAGAUACGUGGAAAGAAAAUAGACAGAGAGUCACUUGUGGCUUUGUUGAAAUAUCUAGCUAGGUAACAGUCAUUUAUUUUAGAGGAAUAGCCUGAAUGGUGCUUUCAGGAUAUCCACUCCUGGGAUUGACUUCACAUCUGAAAUUCAUAUGAAAGUGACGUCAUGUCAUAUCCUUCCUGUCAUAUCAAAUUAGUAGUUAUAUCAAUGGGUGUAGCUUGCCUCUUUGCUUUCAAAACGACCCUCUGAAACUAUUCUACCUUUAAAAAAUGAGAGGGAGUUAUAAGAUACAUUUACCAAUAAGACAAACUCGAUACUGUACAUGGAGGUGGGGUGGGGUGACCACUUAGAUGUCACUGAAAAGAAAGACAUGCACCAUAAAAAGGGGAGGAACAGUUCUUCAACCAGAGAGUCAUCUCCUUAAAGCAGGACAUAUGACAAUCCUAUUAGUUCCAAAGGUAGUGAGUGUGAGACUGAGCUUUCAGAAACGAUGAAUCCUUGUGUUUGCUGUUCUCUGUGCACAAGGCAAGAUUCCCUAUUCCAUAAAUUAACUCAAAUCUGCUUGAUGGGCUGCAUGAAGUGGGUUGCAGCCCAUUAAGUAGAUUUG